AGUGAACGCUGGCGGUAGGCCUAACACAUGCAAGUCGAACGGCAGCACAGUAAGAGCUUGCUCUUACGGGUGGCGAGUGGCGGACGGGUGAGGAAUACAUCUGAAUCUACUUUUUCGUGGGGGAUAACGUAGGGAAACUUACGCUAAUACCGCAUACGACCUACGGGUGAAAGCAGGGGAUCUUCGGACCUUGCGCGAUUGAAUGAGCCGAUGUCGGAUUAGCUAGUUGGCGGGGUAGAGGCCCACCAAGGCGACGAUCCGUAGCUGGUCUGAGAGGAUGAUCAGCCACACUGGAACUGAGACACGGUCCAGACUCCUACGGGAGGCAGCAGUGGGGAAUAUUGGACAAUGGGCGCAAGCCUGAUCCAGCCAUACCGCGUGGGUGAAGAAGGCCUUCGGGUUGUAAAGCCCUUUUGUUGGGAAAGAAAAGCAGCAGGUUAAUACCCCGCUGUUCUGACGGUACCCAAAGAAUAAGCACCGGCUAACUUCGUG
rnacentral:rRNA from 1 species